rnacentral:lncRNA from 1 species
AUUUGAGCAGACUUGAAGAGGAGAGAAACUGAGACACGCAGGGCUUGUGGUCCCUGACAAGGAGGACCCUGAGGGCAACCACACCUUGCCAUGCAGAGCACCUGGCUUCUCAUCUGCCAACCUCACUCUGACCCGGCUGCAGGAGGGGAAGGAGCCAACCCUGGACUCAAGACUCAAGGGGACCAGAACCAGGGAGAUGAGACAUACCAGGGCUGGGCAGCUGUGGGGGUCCUUCCAGAGAGGAGCUGAGAUACGCCUACCUGGAGAGGCCCCUGGGCCUGGAGGGGCUCCUCAGUGUGACUGGGUGAAGUGUUUUCAGAGGACCAGGGUUGAGGUUGGGGGCAUCUCAUCCAGACCCUGCCGGCAUCUGCCCCGAACCCAAGGGCCCCUCCUUCCUCCCUCCUCAAUGGAAAUGCUGGGGAUGUCCUCAGUCACCCUCUGAGCACUCACACAUCACCCUUUAUUUGGAAAUUUUUCUCACUCUAACCUCCUUCCUUCCUGCUGCACCUUCUGCCCCAUCCCCAGGCUCUGGCCUCUCUCUCUCUUCUUCCACCCUUUAGCAGGUGAUGACUCACUUCCCACUGAGGAGGCAGCUCUAGGUGAGAGUCUGGGCUCUCGGUGAGCUUGGGAGAAGGAAAAGGCUUAUGGGCCAGGGCAUGGGAAGGAGAAUGGGCACAGCCAGAGCAG